CUGGGCCGAUGCCCAGGUGGUGUGUAGACAGUUGGGCUGUGGGAGGGUGCUGUCUGCACCACUUGGGGCCACUUUUGGACCUGGACAAGGGCCUAAAUGGUUGGAUUAUGUAUACUGCCAUGGCCUCGAAUCUGAGCUCACACAGUGUCACCACAGAGGACUAGGGACCCACGACUGUGGUCACCAGCAGGACGCUGGAGUUGUCUGUGAAGCUGCCUCUCCAGUGAGACUGGUCAACGGUCUCUCCAACAACCCCUGUUCAGGCAGGGUGGAGGUCUUCCUCCAAGGCCAGUGGGGCACAGUUUGUGAUGUUGACUGGGACCUGAAUGAUGCCCAGGUGGUUUGUUCACAGCUGGGCUGUGGCAGUGCCAUCAGCCACCAACGAGGCAUAUUUUGGGCCGGGAACAGGACCCAUCUGGUUGGACGAUGUCAACUGUGGAGGAAAUGAAACGUCAAUAACCGACUGUGAACAUCAAGGGUUUGGUUCUCAGGACUGCAAUCACGUUGAAGACGCUGGCAUCAUCUGUGAUGGUGAUGGUAUCACUGGAAAAGGUGGUCGCUGGGUUUGCCGAUGCAUGGGCUGUCUGUACUUAUCAACUGUUAUGUUUGUUAUUUGAAGUUGUGUCCAUGCUAUGACUUCUUCAAUCAACUCAUUCAUCAUUUUUUUCUCUUUUCAUAGCUGUCCCUCCAGUGAGACUGGUCAGUGGUACCUCCAACAACCCCUGUUCAGGCAGGGUGGAGAUCCUCCUCUAUGGCCAGUGGGCCACAGUUUGUGAUCAUGACUGGGACCUGCUCGAUGCCCAUGUGGUGUGUAGGCAGUUGGGCUGUGGGAGGGUGCUGGCUGCAACACAUGGGGCCAGAUUUGGACCUGGACAAGGGCCUAUAGGGUUGGAUUAUGUAAACUGCACUGGUCACGAAUCUGAGCUCACACAGUGUGGCCACAGAGGACUGUGGACCCACAACUGUGGUCACCAGGAGGACGCUGGUGUUGUCUGUGAAGCUGCCUCUCCAGUGAGACUGGUCAACGGUCUCUCCAACACAAUUUUUGGUUCCUAAAAGUCACUUCGUCGUUCUGGUCAGUGUUUCUCAUGCUGCAUGAACUUGCUCUCUCAUGGUUUGUAUGUUAUGA